rnacentral:rRNA from 1 species
GUCUAAUACCGGAUACGAGUCUGGGAGGCAUCUCCCGGGCUGGAAAGCUCCGGCGGUGAAGGAUGAGCCCGCGGCCUAUCAGCUUGUUGGUGGGGUAAUGGCCUACCAAGGCGACGACGGGUAGCCGGCCUGAGAGGGCGACCGGCCACACUGGGACUGAGACACGGCCCAGACUCCUACGGGAGGCAGCAGUGGGGAAUAUUGCACAAUGGGCGAAAGCCUGAUGCAGCGACGCCGCGUGAGGGAUGACGGCCUUCGGGUUGUAAACCUCUUUCAGCAGGGAAGAAGCGCAAGUGACGGUACCUGCAGAAGAAGCGCCGGCUAACUACGUGCCAGCAGCCGCGGUAAUACGUAGGGCGCAAGCGUUGUCCGGAAUUAUUGGGCGUAAAGAGCUCGUAGGCGGCUUGUCACGUCGGGUGUGAAAGCCCGGGGCUUAACCCCGGGUCUGCAUCCGAUACGGGCAGGCUAGAGUGUGGUAGGGGAGAUCGGAA